rnacentral:rRNA from 1 species
GACGAACGCUGGCGGCGUGCUUAACACAUGCAAGUCGUACGGUAAGGCCCUUUCGGGGGUACACGAGUGGCGAACGGGUGAGUAACACGUGAGUAACCUUCCCACAACUUUGGGAUAACGCUAGGAAACUGGUGCUAAUACUGGAUAUGUGCUCCUGCUGCAUGGUGGGGGUGGGAAGCUCCGGCGGUUGUGGUUGGACGCGCGGCCUAUCCGCUUGUUGGGGGGGUAGUGGCCUACCAAGGCGGCGACGGGUAGCCGGCCUGGGGGGGUGACCGGCCACAUUGGGACUGAGAUACGGCCCAGACGCCGACGGGAGGCAGCAGUGGGGAAUAUUGCACAAUGGGCGCAAGCCUGAUGCAGCAACGCCGCGUGCGGGAUGACGGCCUUCGGGUUGUAAACCGCUUUCAGCAGGGACGAAGCUUUUUGUGACGGUACCUGCAGAAGAAGCACCGGCUAACUACGUG